UAAUACGAAGGGUGCAAGCGUUACUCGGAAUUACUGGGCGUAAAGCGUGCGUAGGUGGUUCGUUAAGUCUGAUGUGAAAGCCCUGGGCUCAACCUGGGAAUGGCAUUGGAAACUGGCGACCUAGAGUGCGGUAGAGGGUAGUGGAAUUCCCGGUGUAGCAGUGAAAUGCGUAGAGAUCGGGAGGAACAUCCGUGGCGAAGGCGACUACCUGGACCAGCACUGACACUGAGGCACGAAAGCGUGGGGAGCAAACAGGAUUAGAUACCCUGGUAGUCCACGCCCUAAACGAUGCGAACUGGAUGUUGGGUGCAACUAGGCACUCAGUAUCGAAGCUAACGCGUUAAGUUCGCCGCCUGGGGAGUACGGUCGCAAGACUG
rnacentral:rRNA from 1 species